rnacentral:tRNA from 1 species
GGGGGCGUGGCGGAAUUUGGCGAGACGCCGAAGCCUUAAAAGCUUCUGUCCGAAAGGACGUGCAGGUUCGAAUCCUGCCGCCCCCACCA